rnacentral:rRNA from 1 species
CCUACGGGGGGCAGCAGUGGGGAAUAUUGGACAAUGGGCGAAAGCCUGAUCCAGCCAUGCCGCGUGUGUGAAGAAGGCCUUCGGGUUGUAAAGCACUUUCAGUGGGGUAGAAAGCCUUGGGGCUAAUACCCUCGAGGAAGGACAUCACCCACAGAAGAAGCACCGGCUAACUCCGUGCCAGCAGCCGCGGUAAUACGGAGGGUGCGAGCGUUAAUCGGAAUUACUGGGCGUAAAGCGCGCGUAGGCGGUCUGAUAAGCCGGUUGUGAAAGCCCCGGGCUCAACCUGGGAACGGCAUCCGGAACUGUCAGGCUAGAGUGCAGGAGAGGAAGGUAGAAUUCCCGGUGUAGCGGUGAAAUGCGUAGAGAUCGGGAGGAAUACCAGUGGCGAAGGCGGCCUUCUGGACUGACACUGACGCUGAGGUGCGAAAGCGUGGGUAGCAAACAGGAUUAGAUACCCUAGUAGUC